CAACGGGUGGAUGGAGCUGGAAUUUUGGCCAGAAUGUUCCAGCUUGGUUUUGUAGCUCGUAGAAUUUAUUCCGUUCCUGCUCCAUUGUCCCUAGUUCAUGUGGACACCAACCAUAAACUAAUCAUAUUCAACAUUGUGAUAUUUGGUGGAAUUGAUGGAUUCUCAAGGAAGAUCCUGUAUCUUGAUGCUGCUGCAAACAACAAAGCAUCGACUGCUUUCUCAUUUUUUUUGGAGGGUAUCCACAAACAUGGGUGGCCAUCGAGGUAAAAAUUAUCUUUACUA